rnacentral:rRNA from 1 species
UGUCUGGGAAACGUGCCUGAUGGAGGGGGAGUAACUACUGGAAACGGUAGCUAAUACCGCAUAACGUCGCAAGACCAAAGAGGGGGACCGUUCGGGCCUCUUGCCAUCAGAUGUGCCCAGAUGGGAUUAGCUAGUAGGUGGGGUAACGGCUCACCUAGGCGACGAUCCCUAGCUGGUCUGAGAGGAUGACCAGCCACACUGGAACUGAGACACGGUCCAGACUCCUACGGGAGGCAGCAUG